ACGUAGGUGGCGAGCGUUGUCCGGAAUUAUUGGGCGUAAAGAGCAUGUAGGCGGUUUUUUAAGUCUGGAGUGAAAAUGCGGGGCUCAACCCCGUAUGGCUCUGGAUACUGGAAGACUUGAGUGCAGGAGAGGAAAGGGGAAUUCCCAGUGUAGCGGUGAAAUGCGUAGAUAUUGGGAGGAACACCAGUGGCGAAGGCGCCUUUCUGGACUGUGUCUGACGCUGAGAUGCGAAAGCCAGGGUAGCGAACGG
rnacentral:rRNA from 1 species